GACGAACGCUGGCGGCGUGCUUAACACAUGCAAGUCGAACGGAAAGGCCCUGCUUUUGUGGGGUGCUCGAGUGGCGAACGGGUGAGUAACACGUGAGUAACCUGCCCUUGACUUUGGGAUAACUUCAGGAAACUGGGGCUAAUACCGGAUAGGAGCUCCUGCUGCAUGGUGGGGGUUGGAAAGUUUCGGCGGUUGGGGAUGGACUCGCGGCUUAUCAGCUUGUUGGUGGGGUAGUGGCUUACCAAGGCUUUGACGGGUAGCCGGCCUGAGAGGGUGACCGGCCAGAGUGGGAGAGAAGUGCGGGCAAGACGGCUACGGGAGGCAGAAGGGGGGGUGGGUGCAGGAGGGGCGGAAGCUUGACGCAGGAACGCCGCGUGCGGGAUGAGGGGCGGAGGGUUGUGAGCAGAGUUCGCCGGGGAAGAAGCGUGAGAGACGGUAAUGGGUAAGGAAGAAAGCGCUCACUACGUG
rnacentral:rRNA from 1 species